UUUUAAAUCAAUUAAAUCACCUAGAAGAGGCAUUUUUGACAUUUAAAUUAUUUUGUGUUUCUUUGAUUCAAUCCAUAUCAUCAAUUCGAAAUAAUCAAUGGUCCAUGUUAGCUAUCCACGUGCAUUUUUUAUUCAACCAACCAAAUAAAAAAUAAUCAAAUUAAAAAAAAUAGAAAAGAAAUAACAAACAAGGAGGAAAUUCUUUCCAUGAGCAGUUGACAGCUAGGAUCACCAAUGGUGC
rnacentral:lncRNA from 1 species